UCUCUGGUGGUAUAUUGGUUAGUGUAUGCACCUAUCCAUGCGAAAGCUGGGUUCGACUCCCAGUCAGAGAG